GACCGCGCCCUCCGCUCGCCGCCGCGAGGCCACCUGCUGCGCCGCCCGCCGCUUCCGGCUCCCAGGCCGCCCGGAGGCUGCGCCCACCGCUGCCCGCACCCCUCACCUGGCGGCGGCCCUCUCCGCCGGACGCGCUGCCGCCGCCGCCGCCGCCGCCUCUCGCCGCCGCUGAGUGAGGACAGCCUAGGCCUAUCCAUCUGUGGAUGAUAAUGCCCACAGUGGACUGGGCUCUACUGUAUCAAUUUGCAAUCAAGAAAAUGCCACAUGGAUAUGUCUGCAGGCCAGUCUGAUGGAGACAGUUCCUCAACUGAAGUUCCUUCUUCCAAGUUAGUCUCUCAGGUGUUCUCAUCCCCCUUUGAUAUGGCAGAUCUUCUCCCAUGCUGCUUAACCUCCAAACUGAUAUUCUAGCUGAAUAUGGCCAGCACUUGUUCUUGGAGUCCUUGAAGGCCCUCCAAAGACCAGAAGUAACUCCGACCUGUCAUCUGCUAGAUUUAUGAAUCUCAACUCCCUUUAAUUCCCAUUGCUUUGAACCAGGUGACAAAGUUUGGAUAAUUCGACAUACACACAAGACUCUGGGACCCUGCUGGAAAGAACCUCAUACCAUGAUCCUGAUCAUGCACAUGGCUGUAUAGGUGGAUGGGAUCUGGACAUGGAUACACUACUCCCAUGUUAAGCCUGACCGAAGAGAGACAACACAGCAGUUGAGAUCUGGCAGGGAGAGACUUUCAGAUGUUCCACCAAGAGCAAUGGAAGGCAUACCCAUAUCCCGUUGAUCCAAUAAGGCUGCAACUUCAGCACUCCUGAUCAUGCUUACGUGCUGCACCCUUCACCGACCCUUCAGUCUAACCUGGAUGCUUAUAGAUGUUGGAAGAGGUGAAAUUCUUCACCAAGUCUCCACACUAGUGCAGAAGGGACCUAGUUCCCUGAUCUGGAGCUAUAGUUGGAUGAUUUCUCUGGGUUUGGGAGCUUGGAAUUGCACCAUUGGACCAAAAAUGGCCGAUUCUAUGUUUGCCCAGGCCACUGCUGCAUCAAGGCCCAGAAAGAUAAGUGUGGAGGGUCUCCGUUUCCUUUUGUGUUGUUUGGGGAUAUGAAUUCACCUGCUAUAUAUGGUGACUUGUGGUGCACGCAUUAUUAAUACUUUAGUCAAGUUUGUUAAGGAAUGGAUGUCCACUGAUGGUUGAGAAUCCAACUGGUGAUUCACAAGCAGCAAUACCAGCCCAUCUUAGGUUUCAAGUUAGGCCAUUAUUCAAGGAGGGAAUGAGCGUUGGGCUAACUCCAUGAGAGACUGCAAGAUGCCAGUUCAGGAGACUAGGCCUAAGUGUCUGUUUCCCAAAACUGAGCAGACCAGUUCUUGGAAAAACCACAGCCCAUGAACAGCCAGUCAGAAGCUGCCCUGCCAAGGUUAUUCAGCAAGGGUUCUUGUAAAGUCCCCAGGCCCCCAGUAAUGAGUUUGAAAAGCCCACAGAACUAUAGUCAAGAGUUACCCAUAGCCCUGGAGUUAGAGCCAACCAUUUGGGAUAAAGGUCACCUACCUCUUCUUGGAAUUCCCCUAAUCACCUUUAAAUUGAGCUACCUACAGAGCUCACCUUGAGGUUACCAUUUCUAUGAAUUGUAGACCCUUGCAUGCUGGAUUUCUGCAGAAUAAAUGCUCUUUCCUUUUUUAUACC
ensembl:processed_transcript